rnacentral:lncRNA from 1 species
CGGGGAGUCCUCAUCCAAGAAAGUAAGGAGUACCCAAUCGGAGCUUUUUAUCCCUCACCUGUUGUAGUCUCUAGUGAGGAUUGAGUUGGUUGUGGUCGAAAAGCCUUAGAUUACUGCAUCGGAGUCAUUUCGAGCUUCUUUUCCAUUGGAUUAGGCCCUACCUUCCUCUGGAGGGUCGACAAGGCUCAAGAUGGACCCUCCUCUACCCAAGGCUAG